rnacentral:rRNA from 1 species
GGUGAGUACGGGGCCGAGGCCGGGGGAGGACGGAGGGGGCAAGGUUUGCUGGGAAUUACAGGGCGUAAAGGGUCCGUGGGCGGGUGGGUAAGUCGAGAGGAAAAGCUCUGGGCUUAACUCAGAGGCUGCGUCCGAGACGACCGUGCUGUAGUGCGAGAGGGGCAAGUGGAAUUGCGGGUGUAGCGGUGAAAUGCGUAGAUAUCCGCAGGAACAUCCGAGGCGAAAGCGGCUUGCUGGAUCGCAACUGACGCUGAGGGACGAAAGCUAGGGGAGCAAACAGGAUUAGAUACCCUGGUAGUC